rnacentral:rRNA from 1 species
UACGUAGGGGGCAAGCGUUGUCCGGAUUUAUUGGGCGUAAAGAGCGUGUAGGCGGCCUGAAAGGUCAGCUGUGAAAACUCGAGGCUCAACCUCGAGACGUCGGUUGAAACCAUCUGGCUAGAGUCCGGAAGAGGAGUGUGGAAUUCCCGGUGUAGCGGUGAAAUGCGCAGAUAUCGGGAAGAACACCCGUGGCGAAGGCGGCACUCUGGGACGGUACUGACGCUGAGACGCGAAAGCGUGGGGAGCGAACAGGG